UUCCCGUACGAUCACCGAAGUUAAGAAACGUCGAGCCUGGUCAGUACCUAGAUGUGUGGCCACUUGGGAAUACCAGGUGCUAUA